rnacentral:rRNA from 1 species
GAUGAACGCUGGCGGCGUGCCUAAUACAUGCAAGUCGAGCGAACGGACGAGAAGCUUGCUUCUCUGAUGUUAGCGGCGGACGGGUGAGUAACACGUGGAUAACCUACCUAUAAGACUGGGAUAACUUCGGGAAACCGGAGCUAAUACCGGAUAAUAUUUUGAACCGCAUGGUUCAAAAGUGAAAGACGGUCUUGCUGUCACUUAUAGAUGGAUCCGCGCUGCAUUAGCUAGUUGGUAAGGUAACGGCUUACCAAGGCAACGAUGCAUAGCCGACCUGAGAGGGUGAUCGGCCACACUGGAACUGAGACACGGUCCAGACUCCUACGGGAGGCAGCAGUAGGGAAUCUUCCGCAAUGGGCGAAAGCCUGACGGAGCAACGCCGCGUGAGUGAUGAAGGUCUUCGGAUCGUAAAACUCUGUUAUUAGGGAAGAACAUAUGUGUAAGUAACUGUGCACAUCUUGACGGUACCUAAUCAGAAAGCCACGGCUAACUACGUGCCAGCAGCCGCGGUAAUACGUAAGUGGCAAGCGUUAUCCGGAAUUAUUGGGCGUAAAGCGCGCGUAGGCGGUUUUUUAAGUCUGAUGUGAAAGCCCACGGCUCAACCGUGGAGGGUCAUUGGAAACUGGAAAACUUGAGUGCAGAAGAGGAAAGUGGAAUUCCAUGUGUAGCGGUGAAAUGCGCAGAGAUAUGGAGGAACACCAGUGGCGAAGGCGACUUUCUGGUCUGUAACUGACGCUGAUGUGCGAAAGCGUGGGGAUCAAACAGGAUUAGAUACCCUGGUAGUCCACGCCGUAAACGAUGAGUGCUAAGUGUUAGGGGGUUUCCGCCCCUUAGUGCUGCAGCUAACGCAUUAAGCACUCCGCCUGGGGAGUACGACCGCAAGGUUGAAACUCAAAGGAAUUGACGGGGACCCGCACAAGCGGUGGAGCAUGUGGUUUAAUUCGAAGCAACGCGAAGAACCUUACCAAAUCUUGACAUCCUUUGACAACUCUAGAGAUAGAGCUUUCCCCUUCGGGGGACAAAGUGACAGGUGGUGCAUGGUUGUCGUCAGCUCGUGUCGUGAGAUGUUGGGUUAAGUCCCGCAACGAGCGCAACCCUUAAGCUUAGUUGCCAUCAUUAAGUUGGGCACUCUAAGUUGACUGCCGGUGGCAAACCGGAGGAAGGUGGGGAUGACGUCAAAUCAUCAUGCCCCUUAUGAUUUGGGCUACACACGUGCUACAAUGGACAAUACAAAGGGCAGCGAAACCGCGAGGUCAAGCAAAUCCCAUAAAGUUGUUCUCAGUUCGGAUUGUAGUCUGCAACUCGACUACAUGAAGCUGGAAUCGCUAGUAAUCGUAGAUCAGCAUGCUACGGUGAAUACGUUCCCGGGUCU